GUAGUCCAUGCCGUAAACGAUGAACACUAGGUGUGGGGGGAGUCGAAUCCCUCUGUGCCGCAGCCAACGCGUUAAGUGUUCCGCCUGGGGAGUACGGCCGCAAGGCUAAAACUCAAAAGAAUUGACGGGGGCCCGCACAAGCAGCGGAGCAUGUUCUUUAAUUCGAUGCAACGCGAAGAACCUUACCUGGGCUUGACAUGGUGCUGCAAGCGCACGGAAACGUGUGACCUUCGAGGGUGCACCACAGAUGCUGCAUGGCUGUCGUCAGCUCGUGUCGUGAGAUGUUGGGUUAAGUCCCGCAACGAGCGCAACCCCCGUGGCGUGUUGCCAGCAUUAAGUUGGGGACUCAC
rnacentral:rRNA from 1 species